rfam:Danio rerio chromosome 2, GRCz11 reference primary assembly.
GUCUCUGUGGCGCAAUCGGUUAGCGCGUUCGGCAGUUAACUGAAAGGUUGGUGGUUCAAGCCCACCCAGGGACG